rnacentral:rRNA from 1 species
GGUUGACCUCGAAUCAGGUAGGGAUACCCGCUGAACUUAAGCAUAUCAAUAAGCG